CCUACGGGAGGCAGCAGUGAGGAAUAUUGGUCAAUGGACGCAAGGCUGAACCAGCCAUGCCGCGUGCAGGACGAAGGCGCUAUGAGUUGUAAACUGCUUUUGUACGAGGACAAAAGCAGAUACGCGUAUCUGUCUGAGAGUACCGUACGAAUAAGGAUCGGCUAACUCCGUGCCAGCAGCCGCGGUAAUACGGAGGAUUCAAGCGUUAUCCGGAUUUAUUGGGUUUAAAGGGUGCGUAGGCGGUCCGGUAAGUUAGAGGUGAAAUCCCGGGGCUCAACUUCGGACUUGCGUCUGAUACUGGUCGGCUAGAGAGUAGGUGCGGUAGGCGGAAUGUACGGUGUAGCGGUGAAAUGCUUAGAGAU
rnacentral:rRNA from 1 species